rnacentral:lncRNA from 1 species
UUGAAAUGUUUUUAGUUUUGUUUUGGAUUUUUGUGUGGUAUUUUAUUUCCUUUAUACCAAUGCCAUUUUGCCAUGCUGUUUUGGGGUGGCUGCCUAACUCUAGUGAAAAUUCUUUCUAUAUUAAUGAAAGUUUGGCCUUUGAAGAUCCUUAAUGUUUUGCAUUUUUUACAUUGUUUUUAAAGAAAUAUUCUAACUGCUUGCACUGUUACUGUUCUUUACCAGCCUUUUCAGGAGCCAAAAAAACAAAUACAAACAAACAAAAAAAUACCCAGAGAAAAAACUUUCCUUCUUCCCCCUUCCUGAUGAUGAGUGAGAAGUAUUGAGAACUUUCGGGGUCAGUGCCCUUCUAAACUCCCCUUCCCCCAAUAAUGCAGCUGUAUAAUGAAUGGUAAAUGCACCGGUUUGGAUUCAGGCACAGCCCCAGUCUGCCUACAGCAGACAACUAAACUGGUAGGUGGCAGCAGAGGAAGGAAUUCUUCAGAUUGAUGGCUACUGACUUAAAGUCUGCAUAGGAGAAGAGAUAGAGCAUGACAUACCAAGUGAAGCAAGGGGGACAAAAAUGGAAACAGGACUAAGAUUCCUGCAUUUUGACUCUAAAUGGUUCUUUUGAAGUAACCAGUGAUCUUUUUUGCUUACCCUCAUCAACAGAAUGGAUGAAGAUAGAUUUGACUGUGUGCUUUUUCAAGUGGAGAAUAUGAAUAUACAGAACAAGAAAGCAAUAACUCCAACCUGUUUGAUUCCGUCUGUUUUCUAAAUAAAGACACUAUGCGCUGG